rnacentral:rRNA from 1 species
UCCGUAGGGGGCAAGCGUUGUCCGGAUUUAUUGGGCGUAAAGAGCGUGUAGGCGGCCCGACAGGUCCGUUGUGAAAACUGGAGGCUCAACCUCCAGACGUCGACGGAAACCGUGUGGCUAGAGUCCGGAAGAGGAGAGUGGAAUUCCUGGUGUAGCGGUGAAAUGCGCAGAUAUCAGGAAGAACACCAAUGGCGAAGGCAGCUCUCUGGGACGGUACUGACGCUGAGACGCGAAAGCGUGGGGAGCGAACAGG